CCUUACUUUAUUUCUCAUCUGCAGUUCAACAUCAUCGGCCAUUUAAAAAACACUGCCACCACAUGCAAAGGGUGGCAUGGGUGGAAGACUAGUGGUUCAAAAGCGUGGAAGAUGGGAGGGAUGGAUAUGACGACAGAGACAAUCACUGAGAAGACCAGAUGGUCACCAACCAGGCUCCAUCCAUUCGGAAAUGUGGGGACUGUAUGGCCACUGGACCCCGUAGACUUUGUUGCUGUGGACACGGCUCUAUUCCUUUACACUCCUUGGACAGACCUUUCUGCAGCGUUCUCUCUUUCCGAGAGACCAAGAGUUCAUGCUGUUGUUGCUUCUUGACAGAACCAUUCUCCCACUAACAGACUCCUCCUUCCACCACAAGCCCUCUACCGUAAGCGCCUUGCUCUGCGGAUGGCAAAAAAAAUUACGCUUGCUCAUAACUGCCCCCCCCUCCGGCAACAAAGGAGACAAAUAGAGAAUAUAGGGAUUUCAUCUGGUUGCUUUUUGCCAUGUGGAAUUGUGCAAUAUGUUUGGUCUUUUUUGUUUUCUCUGUCAAUGAUAGUCCUCACUUAAGUGUAAAUAUUUUCUCAAUGAUGUGGUUCUUUCGGUAGUAGAUAGCGAGAUGCCGAAACACACAGAGGUGUGUGUUGUUUAAGGAUGGUAGCUCACCACCUCGCUCUCUCUACCAGUAGAUCAUCAUGCCUUUCUUUUCCAAUGGUCUUGUGUUUAUUCCACUUAUUACACAAAAGGUUUACAGGGAGUUUUCAUUGCAACCCUCCAUUUUGUGUUCCAUAGUUGUUUUCUCUUUACCUUAAAAUGACCUGAAGCUUUUUGUGUAAUUCUUUUUUUUUUUUUUUUUUUACAUUUUACCUCAUGGACCAAUUUAAAACACCUAUUUUCUUAUUGUUGUGGGGUAUCAUAAGUAUCCAUGACAUUUAAUUGCAGAACUUAAUAAAUAAAAAAUAAUAUAUGAAUUGAAUGUCUUUAAUGCGAUGGAGGGAAUGGGCAUUUAUAGGUGGUCUCAUGACAGUUGUUUUGCCGAGCUGAAAUCAUUCCGAAGCGUCUUAACGUGAAUGUGUUUUUAUAUGGUCUUUGUUGGGUAUAUGUAGCUUCUGUUUUAGUCUUGCUUCCUUCUGUGUAACUUUGUUUUUUUCCCCCCCUCCCUAUUUCUACAUUUGAGUUAUUUAGCUCUUAUCCAGAGCAAUUUACAUGAGCACUUAGGGUUAGGGUUGCCUAACUUAGGGUUAGGGUUGCUCUAGGGCACAUCGACAGUCUCUGGGAUUCAAACCAGCAACUUUCCAGUUACUGGCCCGACCAGUUUUUUUCUCUCACUUAUUCGUCUCUGGGAUUCAAACCAGCAACUUUCCAGUUACUGGCCCAACUCUCUUAACUGCUAGGCUACCUGCCACCCAUCCCAUGACUGGGAUCGUUGACUCUGUUCAUUCCCCACCUAUUGAAACCUUAUUUUUUGUGAUUCCAGUAACACUAUGGCUGUGUUUACACAGUCAAUCCAAUUCAGAUAUUUUGUCCAAUUAUUUGCAAAGGAGCCGAUCUGAUUGGUCAUAAGACCAAUUAGUGGAUAAAGAUCAGAAUUGGGCUGCCUGUGUAAAUGCAGCCGAUAAGGGGAUACUUGAUUGUAAGUCUGCCAUUUUGAAUAGACAUCAUUUUGACAGUAUCAGUACACUAUAAGGAAAAAGAAAGCCUACUCAACCAAAUUAAAAUAUGAAUGUAGAUUUCAGUACAGAAAUAAAAAGGUUUUGAUCAGAGGUAUGAAAAGACUGAAGUGGAUGGUAUUGAUCGUGUCUCGAUGAGGAGAUGGAUGAGAAAGGGUUCAUGUUAUGUGAAGAGCUGGCCAGUGAUAUUAACUGAAGAGUUUUCAAAGAUCAAGGUAUUUCACAAGGUGACAAUAUUAUGAUGGGGUUUGAAAACAUUGCAGUGAAAGAAAUGUGGUUUUGAUUACCAUGGAGUAUUCUUGAGACAAGUUGUGAAAAUAAUUGUUACAAAAUGAAUGGCCAUUUUACUAAUGGUUGUAAAGCCUUUAAAUGGUUUUGCUUAUCAUGUUUGUCCUUUUAAUGCAGACUAAGAGGGAUAUUGAUUAUACAUUCAGAUAGUGCUGUGAGCCUUUUAUAGAAAAAUACAUCUCAUCAUCCCCAUUUAUUGCAAACCAUUGAGCUUCUCUACUAUUAUUAGUCACAUGUUGGCAUUACAGAAUGAUUGACAUUGAAUAUACUGCAUAAUAUUCAAGUAAACUGUGCACCGAUUUUGAGAGAAUGUUGACUCAGUGAAAAUCUUUACCCAUGAGGAAGACAAGUAAAGAAAAUCUCCCUUUUUUUCUGAUUACAAGUAUCAGCUGCUGAAUGCAACUGACCAGUGUGAUAGAUGAACCAUCAAACCUUCCCAAUUUGUUAACAUAUCCAGGUAGUAAACACAACCCAUAUGUUAGGCCGUACAUUUAAUUCCACAUGGACUCUGGACCACCACCAUUCUAAAACUGAGGUUCCUUCCUGCUGACAAACUGUUUAUAUUUCCAAUAUUUUUUUUCUUCCCCUGUUUCUGGAAUGACAUUUAUGACCAUUAAAACACAAUCAUGAAAAAUUA
ensembl:lncRNA